GUGGAUUAGAUACCCUGGUAGUCCACGCCCUAAACGAUGUCGACUAGUCGUUCGGAGAGGUAACUCACUGAGUGACGCAGCUAACGCGUGAAGUCGACCGCCUGGGGAGUACGGCCGCAAGGUUAAAACUCAAAGGAAUUGACGGGGACCCGCACAAGCGGUGGAUGAUGUGGAUUAAUUCGAUGCAACGCGAAAAACCUUACCUACCCUUGACAUGCCUGGAAUCCUUGAGAGAUCAGGGAGUGCCUUCGGGAGCCAGGACACAGGUGCUGCAUGGCUGUCGCCAGCU
rnacentral:rRNA from 1 species